ACUCCUACGGAGGCCAGCAGGUGGGGAAUAUUGCAGCAAUGGCGUCAAGCCUGGAACUGCAGCCAUGCCGCGUGUGUGAAGAAGGCCUUCGGGUUGUAAAGCACUUUCAGUCGUGAGGAAGGUAGUGUAGUUAAUAGCUGCAUUAUUUGACGUUAGCGACAGAAGAAGCACCGGCUAACUCCGUGCCAGCAGCCGCGGUAAUACGGAGGGUGCGAGCGUUAAUCGGAAUUACUGGGCGUAAAGCGCAUGCAGGUGGUUUGUUAAGUCAGAUGUGAAAGCCCGGGGCUCAACCUCGGAAUUGCAUUUGAAACUGGCAGACUAGAGUACUGUAGAGGGGGGUAGAAUUUCAGGUGUAGCGGUGAAAUGCGUAGAGAUCUGAAGGAAUACCGGUGGCGAAGGCGGCCCCCUGGACAGAUACUGACACUCAGAUGCGAAAGCGUGGGGAGCAAACAGGAUUAGAUACCCUGGUAGCUCGA
rnacentral:rRNA from 1 species